UGGCCAAUGCGGGGAUCGAACCCGGGUCGUAGUGGUCGUAAACCAAACGGUUUAACCAGCCUUCCAAAUAGCU
rnacentral:tRNA from 1 species